UUUAGUACUAUUAAUCUGAGAUCAAAUUCGAGAAUACUGACCAUCCCUGCUCCUAAUCAGCUGAUCUUCUUCCCUGGCAUUAGCCCACAAAACUUUACUUUUCAACACUGCAUCACUGAAAAUGAAGCUUUUGUUUCUGAAUUACGGUGCAUUGUUUUCCAUUCGAGAGUCUCUUUAGUUCAGCGAGAAGGGCUUUUUCUUUAUCUUCUUCUGCUUCUGCCCAUAAAUGGGAAGGUGGGGUAUCGGCGGUGCAAAGAGCUUGAAGAGGAAUUGGCCCUGAAUUUGUGAGCUGAAUUUCAUCUUUUACUUCUAUCCGUUGUGUUUAUACCUCUUCCAUUUCACUUUCUUCAAUUUCUCUGGCUUUUUCUUAGAUUCUUGAAUGCAUUUACAAUCUUCCUUCCUCAGUAAUCAGUCGGUGGUUUUAUCGCAUUUGACCUAUUAUUUAGCCAAAAAUUCUAAAAUUUGAGGAUUUUCACAUUCGUAUAUAUAUAUUUGCUUUCCAUGUAAUUAUAUAGAGAAAAGUGUGUAGCUCAGGUGAUUCAUCCCUGGUAAUUGAAAUGAUUAUUACUGGAUAAGCAUGAUUAAUAUACUGAAUGGGACUCGUCAAUUGAUGGAAAGUCAUACUAUUAGAAUAUAAUGGAAUGAAGUUGAAAGGCAUGCCCACUUUGUCCUCAGUGAUUUUUCAAUUUGAUACGGUAAUAAUGGGCUGAUUUCUUUGAUAUUUAUAGGAGAAGCUUGUAUACAUAUGAUUUUAUAAAUAAGCAAAUACUACAUCUACGUAUCCACAAACAACGAAUUUUUUGUAUUUGCACUGUAAUUUAAAUCAAUUUACUUUGAUUUUAAUAAUAAUGUAUCAACAAAGUUAUAAAAGGAUUCUAUUGAAUGCUGAAAAUUUUCUUUACUUGAUUUCCCUUUCAAGCAUUGUUGAGUACAUUCUUUUACCCCUUCUAAUUGGAUGGGAAAUUCUCUUCUUGGUUUUUUUUCCCUCCCAUUAUCCUGUUAGGAGUUGCUAAAAUAGGUUUUCAUGUGUUCAUGUUUUAUGUCAAAAUCUGUUGAUAUGGAUUUCAUUUUUCCCAGUCCUGUUCAAACAGUUUUAUUUUACUCUUUAUAUUGUCCUUGACUUUCCUUUUCCUUUUCUUUUUUUUAGUCUCAAUGGCUUGUGUUGUCACAUAAUCGACUGUUCUUUUCCUUUUGUUUUUUCAGGUUACAUAUAAUGCUUUCUCUCUCUCUCUCUCUCUCUGGCAUAUCACAUGACAGACACAGGCUCACUUUUUUAUGUUGAUAGAUGUAUCCAUGUAAUAGUUUUUACUUAUCAGGUUUUAAUGAAUCCAUUAUUACAUUUUCUGAACUAAAAAUAAUAAAUCAUAUAUUGCAUUAAAAUAACUUUGAGUCUCCUGAACUCAAUAUUGGCAUUGUUAUUAUGUUCCAUCCUAUAGGUAAAGAUGACCACUCAAAACUGUGGUCAAUAAAGGAAAUGCCCCAUGUGGCAGCUCUCUCUCUCUCUCUCUCUCUGUUUUUUUUUUUGAGGUGGGAAGGGGAGUCAUUUAAGUUUUCUGCCUAGGUAAUUGAUUGCUUAUUUUAGGUCUUUAGAUGUCUUUAUACAUGUCAAUUCAUUUCCUAUAGCAGACACAAAACUAUCACUUAGAGUUGUCAUGGAGCAUAACUAUCAUGUUUCAACUGGUGGAAAGGAGCACAUAUCUUGAGUAAGUGAGUGUGACCAGUCCGGAAUAAGAGUUUGUUUAUGUUCUGUAUAAAGUUGUUUAGUCUGCAACUUAAUAUCAAGUUGGUUAGCCUAGAAAUACUAGCCAAUUAGGUAAUGUAUAUUCCAUCUAUUAGGGUCUUCAUUAUGUUUUGAGAGAGAGAUUGAAAGAAAAUUUUCAGUUUUAGUGCUUUUGUGUUGAUAUUUGUGUUUGGGUGCUUGUGUUUGUGGCAAGAGACAAAAUCACAUGGAUGUUUUUUUGUACUUCUUUUUGUCAUUGUUUAUUCAUAGAAGAGGCAAGCUGAAGUUUUAGAUACCGUAUAUGCAUGUCUUUAUGUGUGUGAUUUUCAUUUGUCAUUGUUAUGUUUACUAAAGUACAUUAUGACUUAUUUGGAUGAGAAUUGUAUUUUACUCUUCAUUUUUUUUAAAUUAUCUUUUUAUUUUUUAUAGUUAAAAAUGAUGAAUGGAGCCUAAGUUUGACUUGAUCUCCUAAUUGAGUUAAGCUCAAGUUGGCUCAUUUAGUCUCGUUGUUUGCUAAGUUAAUGGGGUUAAAGGAAAGCCGAUUACAAAUUCUUUAAAAAGCAAGUGAGAUUAGCUCAUGCUUUACUAUCUAAGCUUGAAUUGUUAAACUCAUGUGAGCUAAGCCUUGUCUGGCUUGACUUAGCUCAAUCCAUUUAUACAGCCUUGCAUAAAACCCAUCUUGAUUUUCAUUAAUCAUGCACUGAAACUUCAGGGCUACAUGAUGCAUGGAUGGUUAAAUAAAGUGCAACCAGUAUUGUCACUGUUACUGCUUCAUGAUUACUUCUGGCCAUGCCUGGAUUUGGGACUUCUAAAAUCCAUGGAUUUGAAAAUCUAAGGGUUUUAUAAGUUUUAAUGUAUCUCACACGUUUGGUAUGUUGGUCAAAUCAAUAAAAUGAACCACUACUGAAAGAAAAAAAAAAGAUUGUAGAAUCCCUCAAAUCCAUGGAUUCUAUGAAAUACCUCAUCUAAAAGCUCUCCAACAAAACUUAUCUUAGGUACUUUCCAAUGGAAUAUACCAAUUGUAGUGUACCUUAUAAUUUCAGACUGCUGCUUCAAUGUGUAUAUCAUGUUCACUGGUUAAGGUAAGGUGAUACAAAAGUUUAGAGAGAUGCAUAGCCUGUACUAAAUCAGUUUCAAAGCUAGCUUUCUAAACCAUGUUUACUUCCUUUCUCAUGUUAGAAAUUCACUAGUAUAGUUUAACAAUGUUUGUGGUAUAAAAUGUUGGUGAAAAUGCCUAAAUUAAUAACAUAAUUAUGUUAGCUUGAUAAAAAAUAUACAAAAACAUGAUAAGGCAUGGAUUACUCACUCUUUUAAGGGGAUUCAAAUCCUCUGAAUAGGCAAAGCCUCUUAAUCCAUGUAGCAGAACUUCUCUUUUGUUGACUUGUCUCCUCCAUGAUAUACUCGAUAGUUUCAUCCUGUGGCUCAAAUCAACUCUAACUAAUUUUUGAACCCAAAGCUCCACUGACAGAACACGAUUCUUUGUCUCUAAAUUUUUCAUACCUUCUCUAAAGAACUCUUAUGCUUACACUUAAUUAUAUACACCAAGAACACAAGCUAAGUAUAUAUAGGAGCUUAUACAUCAAUGUUACAAGACUUAAAUAUCUUAAAUUAACUUUCAAUGAAUGAAUAGAGUCAAUUCUAAUUAGUCAACUUUAAAAAACUAAAAUAAAUAUUAAAAGGUUACAAUAUCAUGCUGCUUGCAUUUGUAUUAGAAAUGAUAAUAGAUUCCAUUUAUUAUUACUCUUCUCAUUUUUGCCUAUGUGAGAGGAUUACUUUGUAAUUUGCAGUAAGCAUUAGUUUUUCUGAUUUUUUACAGCACCAAAAGGACUUGGGUUACACAAUUCUGUCUGUUGGAAUCUACCUAUUGUAUAAAAUUUCGUAGGCUUCCUGAUAGAGUAGGAACAAGAGGAUAUGUAAACAAACUGAAACAGAACUUGGAAUUGAAUACUAAUAGCAGAAUGACCAAUUACAUUCAGUAUUCUGCAUUACAAUCAAUAGCUCUCCGUAACUUUGCUCAUUCUCUCAGUAUCCAUCAACUAAGGAAUAGGAACAGAGUAAUAAGAGAAAUUAAGGAGGAAAAAUGGUUGCUAAUACCCACCAGGAAAUCAAUUCCUUUGCUAGCAAAGUUAGCCCCAGCUAAUGCUGCAUAAAUAAAGACGAAAUUACUGCAUCCUUUUCUUUCUUUCUGUUUGCAUAUUUAUAACUGAAGAAAGUUGACCUCCUCUGCUCUCAUUCCCAUGUGACUGCUUCUUUCAUUUCCCUCUAACAGCUCAACCAUUCACAGCUGUUGAAUUCUGGAACCUUCCCCUUCCUUUCGAUGAGCUGAUAAUCCUUCUUUUCCCUUCUUGAAACAUCUUCUGUAAUUAAUUUUUUGGGCCAUUGAUUUCACUUUCCAGCCUUUGGCUGAGUACCUAUUAAUUUCCCACUGGUAAGUAUCAUAUCCAUGCUCAAAUAUCCUUUUUUGGAACUGGUAUUUCAGGUCCUAAAGUACUGGUUCAGAAGAGUUGGAGUAACUAUGAUAUGAAAACCCUAUUAUUUUCUUUUUGUUGGAUUCAUUACCUUGUUUUUAGAUUUUAAUCUAAUGAUGCAAGGAAUGAGUUAACACAGGAAGAAAACUUUGAUUUGCUUACUGCCUGAUACAGGUUAAACGACUUCUGGAAAAGAAUGAGAAAGAACAUGUUAUUAUUGCAACUUGUUGAAAUCCUUAUGGAGCAACAAGACUUCUUAAUUGGAAAAAAGAAUUUUCCUGAAUUCCUCAACAUUUUACAGCUGGAGUUCACCAUUGAAAGUUCCAUGGAGGUUAAGGCUUGAUAUUUCUAUCUGUUCUUACCUAUUGCUUUAGAGAGACCAGAAGGAAUUUCACCUAUAUUUUUCAUUCUAGUCAUCAGUUUAGGUUAGUUGUGGUUUUCUGCAUUGUACCUAGAUGAAUUAACUCCAAAAACAUUUAGUUUUCUUUAUAAUAAAGCAAAGGAGAAACUUGGAUCUUAAUACCACCCUUAGGAUCUUUUUUUUUUUUUUUUUGUCGAAAGAUAAAACUCACGCAUAAACGCGGACUGCAACCACUGAAACCACCUUAGGAUCGAUCAGAAAGGUGGAGCAAGUUUUUUGUUUAUUUCCUUUUAACUUCUUCAUGGGUAUGAUAAGAUGUAUCAACUUUUUUGGUUUAUUUUCUUCAGUGUCCUUCAAUUUAUUUCAGUUUGUUAAUCAUUAUUAACUGCUCAUACAAGGACAGCAAGAUACUUCAGCCUGUCAUGCUUGUCCAAGUCUUCUGACAUUUGUGUCAUAUGGCAGGCAUCUGCUAUGUCCAUACAAGAAAAAUGUGGUUCUUUGAAUCUUCUCAUUAAUGCCUCAAGCAUCCUUUUGAUACUAAAUGUGUUCCAACCAGGUAGGAAUAUUGCAUCAUUGCUUCCAGAUUUUAAGCUGAAUAAACUUCAUUCUUUGCAAUACUUUGCAUGAUAGCAAAUCAAAAGCUAUUCUUUCAGUAAACUCCAAACACGGGCAAGAGAUUAAAGUUAAUUUCUUAGGUCCAUGGUACAGAAAUAACUUGAAUAAAGCAGAGGAAUCAUCAUGUAAUGCUUGCUUAUGAGGUCAAUGCUGCGGGUCCAAUUCUAGUAAUCAAGCAAAUGUGGCCUCUUUUGAAAGCUAGAGGAGGCUCAGGACUCACAGGGAGGUUGCUGUGGUGGCCAACUUAAGUUCGCCUGGUAGGUUGGCUCUCUUAUUGGGUUGGAGAUUCAUGAUCAUGUUAGUUAGGAUCAGCAUCUGUUCAUUUUUCAACUUGAAAAGGAAUGUUGGUUUAUUUUAUUUUUCAACUCCUGAUUCUACUUUGUAUAUAAUUGGGCAAGGUCUAUUGUGACAAGGGUCAGAUGUGAGUUUUUUUUUUUUCCCGAUGGAAUAUGCGUAAGUACUUUGUUUGGUCCCUUCAAUUCAUGAUCAUGUACCUGUGAAAAGGAAUCUGGUCUGGUGCCUGAGAAGCGUGCCCCCAGAAGUCUGUCUUUUGUGCCUGUUUUAAGGCUAAAAUUAAUAUUUAAAAUAGUAACUGUAAGUAGAAGGGUUUUUUAUUUAUUUAUUUAUUUAUUUUUUAUCC